rnacentral:sRNA from 1 species
ACUGGGUAGAUGUUUAAUGUCUUGUAAAAAUCUAAAUGUUUCGGUUUUGCUUGAUGACCAAGGUUAGCUCACAUGUGUUCUUCUGAAUGUGAUCUUUAAGAGUUGGGCAAUACGGGUGCCUGGAAGGACCCCUAAGUUCACAGAGUCUUAAAUUAGUGAUUGGCUAAGGUAACAUGAUGGCUAGAGAAAGAUGGAUGCUGGGCUCUGCUCCCCAUCCCUGCUCACAGCAAGCGGGGACUUCAUUCCGGGCUUUACUGAGACCUCAGCCGAAAGCUUAUACGUGUUCAUCGGAUCAAAUGUGAGUGUGGGGGGAACCACGAGUCAGAAGGUCCGGGCAGAGAUGCGAACAGACACAGUACAGGAAGGUGACUCCCAGAGCAGUGUGUAUAGUAAGAAAUGGGGUGUGUGAGAAGACACAGGCAUCGGUAUUCAGACUUCCAUUGUGAUGUGUAGAGUCAUUUUUUCCAGUGAGCAGCGUUAGAGCGACGUCAUAAUCAACACGCGGAUAGCUACGUGUCUCACACUGCUGGCUACCACACUUGUAGAAGCCACAAGGUCCCAGCGCAGGACAGGCGCUCCACACCACAGAGGCCCGCAGUGUACUCCAGCUGCUCUGGCUGCUUUUCAGAGUAUUCCUCCAUCCAAUCAGAAAGCCGUUGGUCUCUCUCAGAAGAGUCAGGCCAUCAUUGCACCAGUGGGCCCACCUUGCCUGGAAAAUUGGACUCUAGCAGCUAAGAUCUAUAGUCUUCUAACGAUUGGUACUGCAGCUCAGCUAUACAUGAUGAUCAACUUUAGCAAAAGUUUCCCCGUUAUGUCCAUGAAGAUUAACAGAUGAGCCUGAACAAACUUGGGCAUUGAGUCUGCCUGCUGAGGGGACCAAGGGUGUGGACUGCUCAAGUUCCUGCUCACUGAUGUGAUGGCAUUUGGAGUGGCAUGUUGGCUGUUCCAGUAGCGUUUGCUCUUUGCAGGCCUUUCUGGAUUGGGAACUUCUGGAGAGUAGAGACAACAAACAAAACAAAAGGGUGAUUUCACCCAUCCUGCUCCUUCCCAGACACAGUAGACAUAGCGGGCAGCAUACGUGUGUGGUCUUCCUCACUCUAAGGAAUUCUCCAUCAGACAUCAGGAUAUCCUCUAAUGUAAUUCAGGCCAGACACUAUCUGUCUGGAGGAGAAACUGUCCAAUCCCACUAGGCAAGGCCUCGGUACUUAAAACUGCCUCCCUUUCAAAUGCCAGUCAAGUAAUGAAUUAUGAGCUGGACUGACCUGCAAUAAAUCAGAUUUCUAAGACCUGUUUGUAGGGUUCAAUUGACUUGGCAGAGCGGUGUCCUGGUUAGGUUUCUACUGUUGUGAUAAAACAC